ACAUGCCUACAACAUAGUGUUAAUGCACCAGAUCCCAUUAGAACUCUACAGUUAAACGUGCUCAGGCUAGAGUAGUAACUGGAUGGGAUACCUCCCAAGAAGUCCUAGUGUUUUACAUGCC
rnacentral:rRNA from 1 species